UUCAAACCUUAGUCUGAAUGUUGAGGUUCAUGUCAAACCUGCUAUACCAAAUCCAAAAGUGGAGCAUGAUGGAAAAAACUUCUCCAUGGUCAUUGAAAAUAAUAAAAAGGUCUUUGAAGAGGACCUGUUAAAAAUUGGCUCUUUAGUCAGAAUAUUGGAAGAAAAAUGUGUCAAGCUAAAUGAAGAGAAGGAAAAAAUUGAGCAAACUAUGAAAAAAUUGCAAGGUUUUGACUGGCUAGCACAUCUAUAGCUAUUCUUUUUUAUCUGCUGGAAUCAUUGUAAAAAUGUUUUGACAUAUCUAAAGAAUCUACUUGACCAAAUCGACCAUUUAAUUUUGUGACACUGACAUGUCCUUCCAUGCUAGAUAUUACUUGUGUCGUACCAUUAAUUUAUAUGUUGAUUUAGGGAAUUACUAGCAUAUUUUGUUGAGACAUUUAUUUUCUCAAUCAACUUGAUGACCUUAAACAUUAUCUACUUUAUAUUAGGUAUGUAGAAAACAAUCCACAGCAUGCUGAAUCCGGCGUUUACUUACUCAAAUUUCGACAACUGCAGUCUCGAGCAUUGGGUAUGAUUCGCUCUCAUGUACUUUCUGUACUCAAAAGUGCGUCUUCUCAGGUUCAGUCAGCAAUCCGGAGCAAUAGUAGCAGCAAGGCAUCUCUUGCUGAGGGUGUAGAGGCAUCUGUUAUAUUGGCCAGGCUUUCAGAAAUGGGAACAAGCUUCCUUUUGCUGCUGCUCAAAUUGGCCAGGCUUUCAGAAAUGAGGUUCUUGGAUAUAUUUUUCAUCAGUCACAUAUGUAUAUUUUCAGUCAUCCCUAUCCAUACUUUUUCUACUAUGCAUUUGUUAUUACUUUUAGGAUCUCUAAAGCUCUGUUUGAUAAUUGGAUUCUAUUGAGAGAGCAGGCAAAUAAUUUUUUGUUAAAUCUUAAACUUUGUGGUAGGAAAAUGUAAUGUAUAUUGAUAGUAUUUAGAAUGAUUAUAUUGACUAUGAAAGAUACAAAUUUCAAAAUAAAGUUUUAUAUGGUUAGCUUUCUCUUUCUUUAACUUUAGUUGUUGUUGUUGUCAUUGUUUUUU